AAUGAACGCUGGCGGCGUGCUUAACACAUGCAAGUCGAACGAGAACGGGUUAUAACUUGUUAUAACUGUCAGCUAAGUGGCGCACGGGUGAGUAAUGUAUAGGUAAUAUGCCUCUUACUAAGGGAUAACAAAUGGAAACGUUUGCUAAUACCUUAUACUCCUUAUUAACCUAAGUUAAUAAGGGAAAGAUUUAUUGGUAAGAGAUUAGCCUGUAUUGUAUCAGUUAGUUGGUGGGGUAAUGGCUUACCAAGACUAUGACACAUAACUGGUUUGAGAGGAUGAUCAGUCACACUGGAACUGAGACACGGUCCAGACUCCUACGGGAGGCAGCAGUGGGGAAUAUUGCACAAUGGACGAAAGUCUGAUGCAGCAACGCCGCGUGGAGGAUGACACAUUUCGGUGCGUAAACUCCUUUUAUAUGAGAAGAUAAUGACGGUAUUAUAUGAAUAAGCACCGGCUAACUCCGUGCCAGCAGCCGCGGUAA
rnacentral:rRNA from 1 species